GAUGAACGCUGGCGGCGUGCCUAAUACAUGCAAGUCGAGCGAACAGACGAGGAGCUUGCUCCUCUGACGUUAGCGGCGGACGGGUGAGUAACACGUGGAUAACCUACCUAUAAGACUGGGAUAACUUCGGGAAACCGGAGCUAAUACCGGAUAAUAUAUUGAACCGCAUGGUUCAAUAGUGAAAGACGGUUUUGCUGUCACUUAUAGAUGAAUCCGUGCCGGAUGAGCUAGUUGGUAAGGUAACGGCUCACCAAGGCGACGAUGCGUAGCCGACCUGAGAGGGUGAUCAGCGACACUGGAACUGAGGCACGGUACAGACUCCUACGGGAGGCAGCAGUGGAGAAUAUUGGACAAUGGGCGCAAGCCGGAUCCAGCAAUACCGCGUGGAUGAUGAAGGCCUUCGGAUUGUAAAGCCAUUUUGUUGGGAAAGAAAAACAGCGCGUUAAUCCCCCGCUGUUCUGACGGUACCCAGAGAAUAAGCGCCGGCUAACUUCGUG
rnacentral:rRNA from 1 species